rnacentral:rRNA from 1 species
GGACGAACGCUAGCGGCGUGCCUAAGGUAUGCAAGUCGAACGGCCCGCAAGGGUAGUGGCGAACGGUCGAGUAACACGUAGACAACCUGCCUUUCAGUGGGGGAUAACAGCUCGAAAGGGCUGCUAAUACCGCAUAGGGCGGCCUGGCGAUGCCAGGCAUGCUAAAGGAGCAAUCCGCUGGGAGAUGGGUCUGCGGCCUAUCAGGUAGUUGGUGGGGUAACGGCCUACCAAGCCGACGACGGGUAGCGGGUCUGAGAGGAUGAUCCGCUGGACGGGGACUGAGACACGGCCCCGACUCCUUCGGGAGGCAGCAGUGGGAAUCUGCGCAAUGCGCGAAGCGUGACGCAGCAACGCCGCGGUGGGGGAAGAAGGCCUUC